rnacentral:rRNA from 1 species
GAAUCUGCCCUUAGGAAAAGAAUAACUUCUGGAAACGGUUGCUAAAUCUUUAUAUGUCGGGAGAUGAAAUAGCUUAGGCUGCCUAAGGAUGAGCUCACGCCUGAUUAGCUUGUUGGUGAGGUAAUGGCUCACCAAGGCCACGAUCAGUAGCUGGUUUGAGAGAACGACCAGCCACACUGGGACUGAGACACGGCCCAGACUCCUCCGGGAGGCAGCAGUGAGGAAUUUUCCGCAAUGGGCGAAAGCCUGACGGAGCAAUACCGCGUGAGGGAUGAAGGAUUUUGGUCUGUAAACCUCUUUUCUCAAGAAAGAAGUUCUGACGGUACUUGAGGAAUAAGCAUCGGCUAACUCCGUGCCAGCAGCCGCGGUAAUACGGGGGAUGCAAGCGUUAUCCGGAAUGAUUGGGCGUAAAGCGCCUGUAGGUUGUUUAUUAAGUCCGUUGUUUAAGCCUAGGGCUUAACCCUAGAAAAGCAAUGGAAACUAGUAGACUAGAGUAUGGCAGGGGUAGAGGGAAUUUCUAGUGUAGCGGUGAAAUGCGUAGAUAUUAGAAAGAACACCGGUGGCGAAAGCGCUCUACUGGACCAUUACUGACACUCAGAGGCGAAAGCUAGGGUAGCA